UACGUAGGGUGCGAGCGUUAAUCGGAAUUACUGGGCGUAAAGCGUACGUAGGCGGAUCGUUAAGUCAGGGGUGAAAUCCUGGAGCUCAACUCCAGAACUGCCUUUGAUACUGGCGAUCUUGAGUCCGGAAGAGGUGAGUGGAACUCCGAGUGUAGAGGUGAAAUUCGUAGAUAUUCGGAAGAACACCAGUGGCGAAGGCGGCUCACUGGUCCGGUACUGACGCUGAGGUGCGAAAGCGUGGGGAGCAACAGG
rnacentral:rRNA from 1 species